UACGUAGGGGGCAAGCGUUAUCCGGAUUUACUGGGUGUAAAGGGAGCGUAGACGGCACGGCAAGCCAGAUGUGAAAGCCCGGGGCUCAACCCCGGGACUGCAUUGGAAACUGCCCGUCUUGAGUGCCGGAGAGGUAAGCGGAAUUCCUAGUGUAGCGGUGAAAUGCGUAGAUAUCGGGAGGAACACCAGUGGCGAAGGCGGCCUACUGGGCACCAACUGACGCUGAGGCUCGAAAGUGUGGGUAGCAAACAGG
rnacentral:rRNA from 1 species